rnacentral:rRNA from 1 species
UGAGCAAUCUGCCCUUCUCAUCGGAAUAAGCGUUGGAAACGACGUCUAAUGCCGAAUACGACCUCCUUUCGCAUGAUCGGAGGUGGAAAGCUCCGGCGGAGAAGGAUGAGCUCGCGGCCUAUCAGCUAGUUGGUGUGGGUAAUGGCCCACCAAGGCGACGACGGGUAGCCGGCCUGAGAGGGUGACCGGCCACACUGGGACUGAGACACGGCCCAGACUCCUACGGGAANCAG